rnacentral:rRNA from 1 species
AUGUCGCCCCUGUGCGGCGACUGGGGGGGAACCCUAGCGCCGCCGCGUCCUCGUCCCUCCCCCGACCUCUCCUCCUCGCCGCCGCCGGGCAAAGCCCGGUCGGCGGCGGCGGCGGCGGGAUCUCUUCUCCCAUGGCUCGCUAGAUCUGGCGCGGGCGGAUCGCAGCGGUGGUUGGCGGCGCGGGCUUGGGGGCGAUGGCAGUUUCCCAUGGUGUGCGUGGGAGUCCGCUCAGGGCGCGCGGCGAUGGCCCUCGGCAAGCGGUGGCGGGCGCUGGGCUCUCGGCGGCGCUCCGGCGUGUGCAGGCGGCGGUGGUCCCUGUGCACGGUCGGCGGCUCCGUCUCUGACCCGGACGGCGCGGGGGAUGGCGGCGGCCCGGCGUGGCCGGCGAUCUGGAUGCGGUGGUGCCGGCAGCUCGCUGAUCUGCCGGUGCUCUAG